rnacentral:SRP_RNA from 1 species
GCCGGGCAUGGUGGGGGGCGCCUGUAGUCUCAGCUAUUUGGGACGCUGAGGUGGAAGGUUUGUUUGAGUCCAGGAGUUCUGGGCUGCAGUGCACUAUGCAGAUCCAGUCUCCACACUAAGUUUAGCAUCAAUAUGGUGACCUCCCAGGAGCAGGGGACCACCAGGUUGUCUAAGGAGGGGUGAACCAGGCCAGGUCGGAAAUGGAGCAGGUUAAAGCACUAUUAUCAGGCCAAGGAGAUAGCUCAGCGACCUAAGUGCCUGCCUGCUGCUAGUCAAGGUCCUGAGCUUGAUCUGUGCUACUACAA